UACUUUUUUGCUGCUUUUUUUACCCACUUAUGAAAAAUGAAAAAAGUCGCUAAAAAUGGACGAAAAGUAAAGGGUAUAGCCUUACUUUUUUGCUGUUUUUUGGCCACUUAUAAAAAAUGGAAAAAAUCGCUAAAAUGGACGAAAAGUUAAGCCUAUAUAUCCUUACUUUUUUGCUGUUCUUUACCCACUUAUGAAAAAUGAAAAAAGUCGCUAAAAAUGGACGAAGGCUAUAGCCUUACUUUUUUU